GGCAGUGGUGGCUCAGUGGUAAAGAUGUUCGACUACUGAGUGGAAGGUUGUGAGUUGAAAUCCCAGCACUGCCA